rnacentral:rRNA from 1 species
GAUGAACGCUGGCGGCGUGCCUAAUACAUGCAAGUCGAGCGAACAGACGAGGAGCUUGCUCCUCUGAUGUUAGCGGCGGACGGGUGAGUAACAUGUGGAUAACCUACCUAUAAGACUGGGAUAACUUCGGGAAACCGGAGCUAAUACCGGAUAACAUGUUGAACCGCAUGGUUCAACAGUGAAAGACGGUCUUGCUGUCACUUAUAGAUGGAUCCGCGCCGCAUUAGCUAGUUGGUAAGGUAACGGCUUACCAAGGCAACGAUGCGUAGCCGACCUGAGAGGGUGAUCGGCCACACUGGAACUGAGACACGGUCCAGACUCCUACGGGAGGCAGCAGUAGGGAAUCUUCCGCAAUGGGCGAAAGCCUGACGGAGCAACGCCGCGUGAGUGAAGAAGGUCUUCGGAUCGUAAAACUCUGUUAUUAGGGAAGAACAAAUGUGUAAGUAACUAUGCACGUCUUGACGGUACCUAAUCAGAAAGCCACGGCUAACUACGUG